rnacentral:rRNA from 1 species
CAGUAGCCGCGGUAAUACGAAGGGGGCUAGCGUUGUUCGGAAUUACUGGGCGUAAAGGGCGCGUAGGCGGCCAUUCAAGUUAGAUGUGAAAGCCCUGGGCUCAACCUAGGAAUUGCAUUUGAUACUGAUUGGCUAGAGUUCGGGAGAGGUGAGUGGAAUUCCCAGUGUAGAGGUGAAAUUCGUAGAUAUUGGGAAGAACACCAGUGGCGAAGGCGGCUCACUGGACCGACACUGACGCUGAGGCGCGAAAGCGUGGGGAGCAAACAGGAUUAGAUACCCCGGUAGUCCCUGUCUCUUAUAC